UAUUUCUUUUUUAAUUAAUAAAUAAAAUUUUAUUGUAUGAAAACAUUAUACGUUUUCCGUAAAAACCGGUUGUUUCUACCAGUUUAUUUUCAUUAAAAAAUAAUAUUAAUUUUUAGAGAAAUUUUUUCAAUACUUUGAACAAUUUUAAGAGUUGUUCUAUCUGGUUUUAAGUUAAGUACUUGGGGAAAUCCCGAGAUAACUGACAGGUUGUUUCCACCAGUUUCUACGGAAAAAGUUGGUAAAGGCGGGCUUAACGUCGCAGGCGGAGUUUAUUUUAGUUUAUUUGCUUUAAAUAUCUAUAAUUAUUAUUUAAAACUAGUUAUUAAACCUAAAAUUAUUGGUCUUUAAUUGUAAACAAGCUUUAUCUUUUAUUAAUAUUUUGAAAUAAUAUAGUAAUUAGACAAGGGGUUAAAAGGCACGGAAACAAAAUAUAUUAAAAGGUCGAGCUUGAGCCGAGAGUAGAGGAUUUCCAUUAAAGUCCAUCCUAAAUAAAAUAUUGAAACAUUUAUUAUAGUACUUGAGGUAGAGGUACUUCAGAUAGAGAUACUUGAGGUAGUGAUAGAGGUACUUGAGAUAGAGAUAGAGGUACUUGAGGUAGGGGUACUUGGCUAGAGAUACUUCAAUGAAGUGGCGAACCAGUUCGCGUAUCGUGUAGAUCUAGCUUUAUACAAGCAUAUGUUGUUUCUUCUAAGAAGAAAACCUUUCGGAAGAAGAACGCAUCCCUGGAAGAGCUAGAGGUCGAGCUAGAGAGAUAAAGAUAAAUAAAUAAAUAAACAAACAAAGAUAAAAUUAUUCUUAAUUUUUAAAAUGUUAUUUUCUUUGAAAAAAGUUAAUGUCUUUUUUAUGUAUGACUCUUUAUCCAACUCAACGAGGCCUGCAUUUUUGUCUCCCAUGGUAACAAUACGAUUUUCUAUUUUAAUUUUAUGUUUCAGAUUUUUAAUGAUGCGAAGAAUUAAUUUAGUAUGGAAAGAUUUUAUGUUGACGUUCUUAUUCCCACUCGUUUUCCCUCACUCUUUCACCUUUAUCAUCUGGCGAACGUUCCUUAUGACCUUCAGUCCAAUUUCAUCCCUCAUCAUGUUGACUCAAGUUAUUUAAUUUUAAAGGAAAUUUUAACGUGUUAAUUGUUUGGUAAUUUGUUUUGUCGUUAAUUUUUAACAUUUAUUUUUAAACACUUUGAAAAACGAGAUUUACGAUGAAUAGAAAAACGCCAUUUUAAUUUUUUGGAUUUUUCAAUUUACUCUUCAAGUUUUUUUACAUUUGAAUUUUUCGUAAACGGAAUCUUUUUGAAGAAAUACUCUGAAACAAUACUCUCUUCACUCUCGAUGCUCCUACACCGACG